GGUCCGUUAGCUCAGUCGGCAGAGCAUGGUGCUGAUAACGCCAAGGUCAUGAGUUCAACCCUCACACGGACCA